rnacentral:misc_RNA from 1 species
AAACACCACAAUAUCAAAACAAAAAGUGUUCUGUAGAAUUCUAACUUCUUCGUCAUUCCCGCCGCCGCAUAACAACUUGCCGAUGUCUCAGUUCAGACAGACUUGGGGUUAUCGGGUGAACGAGGGCUCGCCAUACUCGUACCAAUUCAUCCCUCCUCCUCCACUGUCGAGACAUCCAUAUCUGCCGCCGCCUCCGCCGGAUUCCUUGUAUCCACAGCCUCCUCCUCCUCCACCUUCUCCGACACCGUGCCCACCUCCACCUUCUCGUCCUCCUCCUUCGUCUUUUACUCAACCGUCUCAGCCACUGUUCUCUCCUCUAGUAAAUCGGUAUCCAUCUUCGUCCCCUCCUCCACCUUCUGAGCCCCGAUUCCGUCUGCUUCCUCCUCACCCACCUUCUCAGACUGUUGGAUUUAAACAAACAGCUCCAUUGCCUGUGAAAAAUUCCAACGAGACUAGGGAAGAGAGGAGGUUGAGGAAGAAGAAGGAAUUCGAAAAAGUGAGACAGAAACAGAGAAUAAGGGAAGCACAGAACAGAAUUGUGGAGAAAACGAAGUUGAUAUUUUUUGGUAGGAAGGGUCAUGGGUCAAUUAGAUCAGACAGAAAUAUUGCCCCUUUGCCAAGUGGUGGCAUGACAGGCAACCUGUUGAAGAAGCAGCAGCUGAACAGAAGCUUUAGCAGCAGAAACAAGUCAAGAGAACUUGGAGAAGGGAUUAAUAUACCCACCAUUUGCCAACAUAAGGAAGAUUUCAGCUCACAUUGCAGCCAAAGCAUGGACUUGGCUUGGCCACUCGUCUACCUCAACCGGAUAACCUAGUAGCAUAUGCAGAGAGUUGCAUGUACAGUCCAAGUUAUCGUAGCUAUCGCUAAGUCAAGGAAGAUACAUAAGUACUCAUUUUUCAUAGCUUUGAAGAUUAUUAUACUAAACAACCACUAAUUUAGGAGGAAUAUAUAGAUAAUUUUUAGUUUUGUAUUGGCCACUUAACGUCUUUUUCUGUAAUUCUGACUCAUUGGGUCAGCUUAGGCCACUGGCCCUCACUCCUUGUACUGAUGCUUAAUUAAAAGCUAAAAUUUGAA